rnacentral:misc_RNA from 1 species
GGUUUACACGUUUUACUUCAAUUCACAUUUACAUACGAUUAAGUAAACCAAACAAAAACCAAAUAAUAAUGAGUUUUUAGCGAUUCAUCAACUACAAAAUUCUCUACAACUUCUACAUAUCUGUCUCCACAAAUUGACAGCCUCAGUCCUUAGCGUUACUUCUUCAUUCUCAUGGAUAAACAGUGUUUUCGGGAUAUUUCUCCCUUGUGCUUAUGCUGCCAACAUUUCAGCUGCCAUCUGCAUCUAUUCAGGAUUUUGGCUGGCAUGAGUUUCUUGUCCAGUAAAAACUUGACCAUGCUCUCUUACAUCUCGAAAUAUAGAGAGAAAGGAGUUUAGACCUUCAGAAGAAGCACCCCCUAAUAUCCACAGCAGCAAGGAGCUGAAUGAAUUCAUAGACCCCGGGUUAGCUCCACCUUCAGACUGGCGGGUAUCCACUUGCCCUCCAAGUUGAAGAGAAUUACCAAACUCAUCUUGGUUUCCAUUACCUUGUCCAUCUGCAACUCCCGGAAAUUCAUUGGCACCAUUUCUUGGCAAUGACCGAUCAAUUCUAGGCCCAGGACCAGGAGCCAUAUCAACAUUAGUUGGAGCAGGGCUCCUUGCAUUUAAUCUUGUAAUGUGCAAAGUUGAUGCAAGAAUCGUAGAGGAGGUGAUAUGAAAGUCAGGAUGCUGCUGAAAAUGUGACCGUCUGCUUUGCAUAAAUCUCUGCAAAGCUGGAAUCUCAAAACGGUUCCAAAAGUAUAAAAUAAGAUGUUGCAUAAAUGCAGCUGUUGUUGAGAGCGCUAGAUAAGAAAAACCAUAACUAUAAGAAAAGAAGUAAAUGUGGAAAACCAGAAAAUACAGCAAAAAGAAGCGUGGAAAGUACUUCAUGGAUAUUGGUGUGCGUACGCUGAUUAAUGUGAAAAGUUCGCACAGCCAAACAAAAAUUAACACCAUGAAAGCCAGCAGCUGAUCAUCAUAGAACUCGAACAAAAAAAAUAGGAUGCCUAUCAUGAUCGGUACAAAAACAAGGGACUCAAUUACGUGCACAAAGAUCAAUUGAAAUGUUGGAAGCCUAUGCCGAGCAUGAUGCUGUAGCUGCACCGUAAACUUCAGCAUGCGUGUUUGGGUCUCUCUCAAUGUAAAUGAAACUGACAUUGUCGUGGUAAAGAAAACAAAGAGUGACAUCAUGAGUACACCACACUUUGUGACAAGGUAGUCUCCAAAUCUCGCAGAACUUUCAGGUUGCUCACGUGCAUAAGUAAGAUUAUAGAACUCCUUUGUUUGGUGAUUAUAAAGAUAACCUUCACCAGGAGAAGUCAACAAACUAUUCAUUAAUAUAGUGUCAUAUCCCACAAGUCUGUUUAUAAGAAGCUGCUGCCACCUGUUACCAAAGCACGAAUGUCGAGCAGAGAUGCUUAUGUUUAUUGUGCGAAUGUUAUGGCGCAAUCUAGCUUCCUCGGGCAGUAACAAGUACCCCUUCUCUUUGGUG